CGAUGUUCUAAGAGGAUAUUUUCAGCUUCUUGUUCUUUCUCCCUCUCUGUGAUGACACUGUACCCGGUGAGUUAAAAGCAGCAGAAGAUGUGGCUUUACUGAAGGCAGCAGGCUACUGUGGUCCACAGCCUGCCAAUGGGAAUUUGGGUCACAAGCAGGAACCAAGGCUCUGAAGAGUACCCUUGGGACAAAGAAAUACAGCCAGAAUACUGCCUUUGAAGAGUUUAUAAUCUAAGCCAGAGUGGAGUCCAGUAUAGACUAGGUACGAUGCCUCUGAAGUUUAGUGGUCAGCAAGAGAUGAUAUGCAAACAGAAAAGUCUGCAUGAAGAAGGCUGUAUGCAAAAGGACUUCAGAGUAUUGAUCCUUGCAUAAAUGUACCUCAGAUCCUUCACAUGCG
rnacentral:lncRNA from 1 species